rnacentral:rRNA from 1 species
CCUUCAUGAAGCCGGAAUUGCUAGUAAUGGCAGGUCAGCAUACUGCCGUGAAUACGUUCCCGGGCCUUGUACACACCGCCCGUCACACCAUGAGAGUUGGGAAUACCCGAAGCCUGUGAGCUAACUUUUAGAGGCAGCAGUCGAAGGUAGAAUCAAUGAUUGGGGUGAAGUCGUAACAAGGUAUC